CAGUAGCCGCGGGAAUACGUAGGCCCCGAGCGUUGUCCGGGUUUAUUGGGCGUAAAGCGAGCGCAGGCGGUUAGAUAAGUCUGAAGUUAAAGGCUGUGGCUUAACCAUAGUACGCUUUGGAAACUGUUUGACUUGAGUGCAGAAGGGGAGAGUGGAAUUCCAUGUGUAGCGGAGAAAUGCGUAGAUAUAUGGAGGAACACCGGUGGCGAAAGCGGCUCUCUGGUCUGUCACUGACGCUGAGGCUCGAAAGCGUGGGUAGCGAACAGGAUUAGAUACCCCCGUAGUCCCUGUCUCUUAUACA
rnacentral:rRNA from 1 species